UUCUUCCACAUCUUUUGGAACCCAGCCCAAAAUUUAAUAUGUAAACCUAUAAUCACCUUUCCGCUGUCUGAUUUCGUUGAUAGAAUCAAAAAUUCAUAUUCCCUAGACAACAUCUAAUUCCCCCAUCAAAAUUGAUGAGUUCCCCGUUCCAGAACAACAAUAAAUGAACUGGUCUAUCAGGUGAAUUAUACACACGUGCCAAAACGAGGCGUGUCCAUAUAGCCAUUUCAAUUUAAAAACCGAAUAUGGCGAUCGCUAACGAGCCAUUGUUCUGCGGCUUUAUGGGCAAUUAACAACAUUUUCCCCUGCCGCUGGUGCAACCGAAAAAUAAUAGUUGGUGGCCCAAGAUGGAGAGGAAAACCCACCCAAAGAGGUUAAGCGCAAUAAACUUUUAUGGUACUCCCUUUCUUAUGCUAAAACUCUUUUUGGACACAAAACCAAAUGGCCCAUAGAGCAAGACAAUGAACAUCCAAAAUAGAUCUCCACUGAGGCAAAACAAAAGCCAAUAACUUUAUAGAACCGCAACCAAAAAAUACAAAAAA